GAGCAGUUUCUGUACGGUCCGGGGUGGCACACACUCAGUCCAAACUCUGCCCGGCCCAAGUUCUGGUAGCCCAUUUCCGGGCGGAUAGUUGAUCAGCUCGGCCCCAUACACCGUUGGGCCCUCAACCUGCUCGGCCGUCACCUCAGCCCAACUCCAGAUCAUAAAUUA